UACCUAAACAAUUCUGAAAAAUUACGACUGCCUGGGAAAAAGGCAUAUCAACCAGCAGCAAAAAGAAUCAACUCAAAAGCUCUUUCUGAAUAAAAUGAAAAAUCAUCUCGUGGGCGAAAAGUUUCUAUCUUUUUCCUGCAGGAUUAAACAACCAUCACCAAGACUAAUCAUAAAGGUUUUGCUUGGAUCAAACACAAAAAGAAACACAAAAAACAC
rnacentral:lncRNA from 1 species